GACCUGGUAGUCUAGUGGUUAGACCGCCUGACCAUAUUUGCACGCGUACUCUUCAUCUUUCGAGGGGCAGGCGGGCACAGGCACCGCAGGCGCUCGGGUUCGACUCCCGGCCAGGUCG
rnacentral:tRNA from 1 species